rnacentral:rRNA from 1 species
AUUGAACGCUGGCGGCAGGCUUAACACAUGCAAGCCGAGCGGAGAGAGGUAGCUUGCUACUGAUCUUAGCGGCGGACGGGUGAGUAAUGCUUAGGAAUCUGCCUAUUAGUGGGGGACAACAUUUCGAAAGGAAUGCUAAUACCGCAUACGUCCUACGGGAGAAAGCAGGGGAUCUUCGGACCUUGCGCUAAUAGAUGAGCCUAAGUCGGAUUAGCUAGGUUGGUGGGGUAAAGGCCUACCAAGGCGACGAUCUGUAGCGGGUCUGAGAUGAUGAUCGGCAAAACUGGGAGUGAGACACGGCGCAGACUCCGAGGGGAGGCAGCAGUGGGGAAUAUUGGACAAUGGGCGGAAGCCUGAUCAAGCCAUGCCGCGUGUGUGAAGAAGGCCUUAUGGUUGUAAAGCACUUUAAGCGAGGAGGAGGCUACUUUAGUUAAUACCUUGGGAUAGUGGACGUUACUCGCAGAAUAAGCACCGGCUAACUCUGUGCCAGCCGCCGCCGUAACAC